rnacentral:rRNA from 1 species
AGCGAACGCUGGCGGCAGGCCUAACACAUGCAAGUCGAACGAAGCCUUCGGGCUUAGUGGCGGACGGGUGAGUAACACGUGGGAACGUACCUUUUGGUUCGGAACAACUCAGGGAAACUUGAGCUAAUACCGGAUGAGCCCUUAGGGGGAAAGAUUUAUCGCCGAAAGAGCGGCCCGCGUUAGAUUAGCUAGUUGGUGAGGUAAAGGCUCACCAAGGCAACGAUCUAUAGCUGGUCUGAGAGGAUGAUCAGCCACACUGGGACUGAGACACGGCCCAGACUCCUACGGGAGGCAGCAGUGAGGAAUAUUCCACAAUGGGGGAAACCCUGAUGGAGCGAUGCCGCGUGCAGGAAGACGCUUUUCGGAGUGUAAACCGCUUUUAAUAGGGAAGAUUAUGACGGUACCUAUAGAAUAAGGACCGGCUAACUACGUGCCAGCCGCCGCCGUAAGAC